UCCCAGACUCCUACGGGAGGCAGCAGUGGGGAAUAUUGGGCAAUGGGCGCAAGCCUGACCCAGCAACGCCGCGUGAAGGAAGAAGGCUUUCGGGUUGUAAACUUCUUUUAAGAGGGAAGAGAAGAAGACGGUACCUCUUGAAUAAGCCACGGCUAACUACGUGCCAGCAGCCGCGGUAAUACGUAGGUGGCAAGCGUUGUCCGGAUUUACUGGGUGUAAAGGGCGUGCAGCCGGGCUGACAAGUCAGAUGUGAAAUCCCGCGGCUCAACCGCGGAACUGCAUUUGAAACUGUCAGUCUUGAGUACCGGAGAGGUCAUCGGAAUUCCUUGUGUAGCGGUGAAAUGCAUAGAUAUCACGCAGAACCCCGAUUGCGAAGGCAGCCUUCCGGCGCCCUACUGACGCUGAGGCACGAAAGUGCGGGGAUCGAACAGGAUUAGAUACCCCCGUAGA
rnacentral:rRNA from 1 species